CUUCGGUCCAAAACCCAGUCAAUUGAAGGUGUUCUUGCAUGUGCUGAGAAAUGCUUCUGCCUUGGGAUACUUCUACAGGGAUCAAUGCACGGAGUGCACACAAAGGACUAACUGAGUCUGUGAAGUGGGGAGAACCUUGCACAGACUCUGUUUGUUUCCCAUUUCCAAUUACAUUCAUUGAUAUAGUAUAAAACAAAGUGAAACCUGAAACUUCAAAGCCUUCAUUUCAUGAAACUCUGAACCUAGGAGGACCAUAUUUGGGGACCAAGGUGAGACUGCAGAAAACAUCAACCUGGCCCAGGAUCCACAACAUUUGCAGGAAAAAAUUGAGCAGAUAUUCCAGUAAAUUUGAACUCUCUUGCAAGGUUCCAAAAUGCUCCCAAUAUAAGGUGUUCUUGCGCUUGCUGAGAAAUGCUUCUUCUUAGGGCUAGUUAAACAGGGUACAGAGCAGGAAGUGAAACCUGAUUAACUGAGUGUGUGAAGUUUCAAGUCACUAGCAGCAACCAUUUCAGAUUUCGAAUUCCAAUUGCAUUGAUCCCGAAAAGGAAAAUGGAAGUGAAACAUGAAAAUUUGAAGCCUACUUGCCAGCAAACCCUUGAACCAAGGAAAACCAAAUGUGGGGUGCAAGAUGGGAAAGGUGAAAAGAUCCAUCCUUUUCAGGAUUAAUGAAAUACAUAAGAAAUUUUUGUCUAGAGAUUUCAGUAAAUUGGGAUUUUCUUGCAAGGUUCUUAAGUGUUCCCCCCAAAAGGUGCUCCUGCACGUAUUUCAAAAUGCUUCUGAUUAGGACUACUUCAACAGGAAAUAGAGCAUACAGUGCACACUGAGAACUAACUUAUGGUGUCA
rnacentral:lncRNA from 1 species